AGCAUAUCAAUAAGCGGAGGAAAAGAAACUAACAAGGAUUCCCCUAGUAACUGCGAGUGAAGCGGGAAAAGCUCAAAUUUAAAAUCUGGCAGUCUCUGGCUGUCCGAGUUGUAAUCUAGAGAAGCGUUAUCCGCGCUGGACCGUGUACAAGUCUCCUGGAAUGGAGCGUCAUAGAGGGUGAGAAUCCCGUCUUUGACACGGACUGCCAGGGCUUUGUGAUGCGCUCUCAAAGAGUCGAGUUGUUUGGGAAUGCAGCUCAAAAUGGGUGGUAAAUUCCAUCUAAAGCUAAAUAUUGGCGAGAGACCGAUAGCGAACAAGUACCGUGAGGGAAAGAUGAAAAGAACUUUGGAAAGAGAGUUAAACAGUACGUGAAAUUGCUGAAAGGGAAACGCUUGAAGUCAGUCGCGUUGGCCAGGGAUCAACCUUGCUUUUGCUUGGUGUAUUUUCUGGUCGACGGGUCAGCAUCAAUUUUGAUCAUUGGAAAAAGGUCAGGGGAAUGUGGCAUCUUCGGAUGUGUUAUAGCCCUUGGUUGCAUACAAUGGUUGGGAUUGAGGAACUCAGCACGCCGCAAGGCCGGGUUUUUAACCACGUACGUGCUUAGGAUGCUGGCAUAAUGGCUUUAAUCGACCCGUCUUGAAACACGGACCAAGGAGUCUAACAUGCCUGCGAGUGUUUGGGUGGAAAACCCAAGCGCGCAAUGAAAGUGAAAGUUGAGAUCCCUGUCGUGGGGAGCAUCGACGCCCGGACCAGACCUUUUGUGACGGUUCCGCGGUAGAGCAUGUAUGUUGGGACCCGAAAGAUGGUGAACUAUGCCUGAAUAGGGUGAAGCCAGAGGAAACUCUGGUGGAGGCUCGUAGCGAUUCUGACGUGCAAAUCGAUCGUCAAAUUUGGGUAUAGGGGCGAAAGACUAAUCGAACCAUCUAGUAGCUG
rnacentral:rRNA from 1 species